AUUGAACGCUGGCGGCAGGCCUAACACAUGCAAGUCGAACGAGUGGCGGACGGGUGAGUAAUGUCUGGGAAACUGCCUGAUGGAGGGGGAUAACUACUGGAACCGGUAGCUAAUCCCGCAUAGCAUCCGCUUUUCCCCGAUGGGAUUAGCUUGUUGGUGGGGUAACGGCUCACCAAGGCGACGAUCCCUAGCUGGUCUGAGAGGAUGACCAGCCACACUGGAACUGAGACACGGUCCAGACUCCUACGGGAGGCAGCAGUGGGGAAUAUUGCGCAAUGGGCGAAAGUCUGAUGGAGCAACGCCGCGUGAAUGAAGAAGGUCUUCGGGUUGUAAAGUACUUUCAGCGGGGAGGCGUUACCCGCAGAAGAAGCACCGGCUAACUACGUGCCAGCAGCCGCGGUAAUAC
rnacentral:rRNA from 1 species